GCCCGCCUAGCUCAAUCGGAUAGAGCGUCAGACUCUUAUGAGUACGGGUGAUCUUCACAGAUUCUGCGAUCUGAAGGCUGCGAGUUCGACCCUCGCGGUGGGCU
rnacentral:tRNA from 1 species